GGGCAUUACUCACCUCUCCAGCUCUGGUCCGCUGUUGUACCACGGGUCUAAUCAGGCUGUGUCUGUCUCCUUCUUGAACAGCCCAGAAAAUUCAUCUGAACAGCCUUCCUACAGCCGCUCCCCACACCAGGUGGCCAGGUGGGAGUUCCAGACCAGAGCUGUCUCCCGGGAUGUUGACACAGCAGCCACGUUGAUUGGUGUUGGGGCAGCCCCUGUCGGUGUGGCUGGCUUCGGGCCUGGCAUUGGAACGGUGUCUGGCAGCUUGUUGGCUAUGCCGGGAAUCUGUUUCUCAAGCAGCAGCUCAUCUCCGAUGCCAUUCUGGGCUUUGCUGUGUCUGAGGCCAUGGGGCUGUUCUGUUUGGUGGUCGUCUUCCUCAUCC
rnacentral:lncRNA from 1 species